UUGUUCUUGAACGACUGAAGCACUCUGGGGCUUUUCAAGAAACAUUUGAAGUGGCUAAAACAAUAUCGAUGUGGCCAUCAUUGAAAAGUGGAUCAAAAGUUGGGAAAUCUAGCUCUAAUGGUCAUGGUGACCGACGGGCUGGAAAUAGGGCUGUUUCUUCGAGAGUAACUUCAACAAAGGGUUCAAGGCCAGAAUCAAUCAUGUCUGUUCACGAACCAGACGAGCACCCUCCCCAACAUAUUUCUUAACAAGUUCACGAAGCUAAAUUGUACAUGACUACUUGGCAGUAUAAGCAUUUUUGGGAGGAUUAAAUGUUCUUGGAUGGAUGUGUAUGGAUAACAAAUAUUAGUAGUUUUAUUUGUUGAUAGCUGCGCAUGGAUAACAAAUAGCUAUGUUUCAAAUUGUUAUGCUAGAUGGAUGUCACUUGUGAAUGAAAACUUAGAAUAGUUGUAUUGUGUCGA